CCUACGGGAGGCAGCAGUGGGGAAUAUUGGACAAUGGGCGAAACCCUGACCCAGCGACGCCGCGUGAGGGAAGAAGGAUUUCGGUACGUAAAGCUCUAUCUGCAGGAAAGAAAAUGACGGUACCUGACUAAGAAGCCCUGGCUCACUACGUGCCAGCAGCCGCGGUAAUACGGAGGGUGCACGCGUUAUCCGGAUUUACUGGGUGUAAAGGGGGCGUAGCCGGCUGCGCAAGUCUGGCGUGAAAUGGGUGGGCCCAACCACGGAACUGCUGUUGAAACUGGGAGGCUGGAGUGCAGGAGAGGUAAGCGGAAUUCCUGGUGUAGCGGUGAAAUGCGUAGAUAUCAGGAGGAACACCGGCGGCGAAGGCGGCUUACUGGACCGUAACUGACGCUGAGGCACGAAAGCGUGGGGAGCAAACAGGAUUAGAUACCCUUGUAGUC
rnacentral:rRNA from 1 species